AGAGCAGCACACCAGGGACCUCCCAGACAGUAGCCCGGGCUUCCCAUGGCCUAUGAGGCAGCUCAUCCUGGGAUUCCCACGUGUGGGAUGCUUGAGUCAGGACAGACACCCAGUCAUGUGACUCUGGCCACCUGGUUAUCAGUAUAUUCAAACUCUUCCCUAACAGAGUGGCUGAGCGAGUACUGGCAGGACCCCCCGAUUUCCCCUGCCUUCCCUCCAGGAUCCUCAGCUUCCUCAUAUUCCAUGAGUUCAUGGGUUGACCUCUGGCCCACCAGGUCUUUAGGACAUUGCCAAGAUCCUCUUAGAUUGGCCAGUACUCUACUGGUUAUUUAUUUAUUUAUUUAUGGUUUUUUGUUCAUUUUUUGUUUUGUUUUGUUUUUGAAACAGAGUCUCACUCUGUCACCCAGGCUGGAGUGCAGUGGUGUGAUCUCGG
rnacentral:lncRNA from 10 species